rnacentral:rRNA from 1 species
CCUACGGGAGGCAGCAGUGAGGAAUAUUGGUCAAUGGGCGCGAGUCUGAACCAGCCAAGCCGCGUGAAGGAUGAAGGCUCUAUGAUUUGUAAACUUCUUUUAUAUGGGAAUAAAGUGAGGAACGCGUUUCUUUCUGUAUGUACCAUACGAAUAAGCAUCGGCUAACUCCGUGCCAGCAGCCGCGGUAAUACGGAGGAUGCGAGCGUUAUCCGGAUUUAUUGGGUUUAAAGGGUGCGUAGGUGGUUAAUUAAGUCAGCGGUGAAAGUUUGUGGCUCAACCAUAAAAUUGCCGUUGAUACUGGUUGGCUUGAGUGUAUUUGAGGUAGGCGGAAUGCAUGGUGUAGCGGUGAAAUGCAUAGAGAUCACACAGAACACCGAUUGCGAAGGCAGCUUACCAAGCUAUUACUGACACUGAAGCACGAAAGCGUGGGGAGCAAACAGGAUUAGAUACCCGAGUAGUC